CCUACGUGAGGCAGCAGUGGGGGAUAUUGCACAAUGGGGGGAACCCUGAUGCAGCGACGCCGCGUGGGUGAAGAAGCGCCUCGGCGCGUAAAGCCCUGUCAGCAGGGAAGAAAAUGACGGUACCUGAAGAAGAAGCCCCGGCUAACUACGUGCCAGCAGCCGCGGUAAUACGUAGGGGGCAAGCGUUCUCCGGAUUUACUGGGUGGAAGGGGGGCGCAGACGGCGAUGCAAGCCAGGAGUGAAAGGCCGGGGACCAACCCCGGGACUGCGCUUGGAACUGCGUGGCUGGAGUGCAGGAGGGGCAGGCGGAAUUCCUGGUGUAGCGGUGAAAUGCGUAGAUAUCAGGAGGAACACCGGUGGCGAAGGCGGCCUGCUGGACUGCAACUGACGUUGAGGCCCGAAAGCGUGGGGAGCAAACAGGAUUAGAUACCCGUGUAGUC
rnacentral:rRNA from 1 species